UACAGAGGGGGCGAGCGUUGUUCGGAAUUACUGGGCGUAAAGGGCGCGUAGGCGGCCUGCUAAGUCGGACGUGAAAUCCCUCGGCUCAACCGGGGAACUGCGUCCGAUACUGGUUGGCUUGAAUUCGGGAGAGGGAUGCGGAAUUCCAGGUGUAGCGGUGAAAUGCGUAGAUAUCUGGAGGAACACCGGUGGCGAAGGCGGCAUCCUGGACCGAGAUUGACGCUGAUGCGCGAAAGCCAGGGGAGCAAACGGG
rnacentral:rRNA from 2 species